ACUUAAGCAUAUCACUAAGCGGAGGAAAAGAAACUAACUAGGAUUCCCCCAGUAACUGCGAGUGAAGAGGGAAGAGCUCAUCAUUGGAAUCUGGCAGUGUUGCACUGUCCGAGUUGUAGAUGAGGAGUAGUCCGUCUGGACUGCAUGGCGUCCAAGUACAAUAGGCCGUCAGUGGGACAUCAUAGAGGGUGACAAUCCCGUCCUUGACGCCAAUGUGCAAGUCUAUUACGAUGGCUAUCUCAGAGAGUCGAGCAGUUUGGGAUUUGCUGCUUAAACAUGGGAGGUAGAUUCCUUCUAAAGCUAAAUACAGGCGAGAGACCGAUAGAGAACAAGUACCGCAAGGGAAAGAUGAAAUAGCACUCUGUGAAGGGAGUCAAAAGGCGUGAAAUUGUUGCGAGAGAAGCGAUUCAAGUCAGCGUAGCUAGGCCCAUCAAGCGUCUUCGCUUUGGACUAGCUUUGCCAGCGGUCUUGUCCCUUGAAGAGACUUGACUUGUAAUAUGUCCAGCCUGGCGUGCACAGGCAGCCCCUUCUGGGGGCCAGUGGCAUGGCUGGUGGAAUGGCUUGCAAUCGACCCGUCUUGAAACACGGACCAAGGAGUCUAACAUGUAUGCGAGUAUAAGGGUGGCAAACCCGUAUGCGCAAUGAAAGUGAUUUUCGGUGAUUGAGAAUGGCCUGAUGACCAGACAAGCAAUAUAUGUCCCUCGUACGGCCAUUGCCCAAGUUCCGUGGUAGAUCCCACGAACAUGGAGUUGGAGCAUACAUGCUAGGACCCGAAAGAUGGUGAACUAUGCCUGGACAAAGCGAAGCCAAAGGAAACUCUGGUGGAGGCUUGUAGCGAUUCUGACGUGCAAAUCGAUCGUCUGAUCUGGGUAUAGGGGCGAAAGACUAAUCGAACC
rnacentral:rRNA from 1 species